rfam:Pteropus alecto contig160411, whole genome shotgun sequence.
CCAAAGGCUCUUUUCAGAGCCACCCACCUAAUCGUAAAAGAGCUCU